rnacentral:sRNA from 2 species
AUGGAGUACUUGUGGACUGUUGGCGUUGCGUGCCGCUUCCGGUCGUAAUUUGGCUUUCGAGGUAUUGCUGCGGUGGCUGUGGCUGUGAUUGUGGUUGUGAUUGUGGUUGAGAGCAUGUGUCAGGUUCCGGCUGUACAGCGACCACCUCAGACGGACUGGGGGCAGUUGACGGUCUACUAUUCUGUUGUUGGCUGUCUGGAGAGGAAUUAGCUACGUCUGCGAGGGCGAUGAGGGAGCUGUAUUGGUGGGUUCGUCCCAUCUGGGGUCCCUGUCGGUAGGGCCGACCAGUGAGCGGGGAGACAGUUUGCGCCUCAAGGUUAUGGUUUUCUUGCUGCUGGCGAGUGAUAUAGAGGCGCCGCGAACGGAACAUUGCUGCUGCUGCUUCACCGACUAGAUCAGGGUCCUCAUGAGGAGAGAUGGGCAGUUGAUCAGCAAGGUCAGCUUGGCUGGCAACCGUUCCUGCGACUUCACUGGAAGUCGUCUGGAGGGGCGAGUGCGAACGAGGAUUCACAACGCUUUCCUCGUGCAAACUAGCCAAAAUGCUAGGGGAUGAAUUCCGAUGACCAUAGCCCGCCAUGUCCGCCCUUAGAGGAGGUGAAGAGAGCGCGGAAGAAGAGGCUGCGUCGGGUUCGCUCACACCAUUCAUAGUCUCAGAUAUCGCCUGGAAUAAAGGCGGGAAUAUACAUCUCGCUAAAUUGUCAUACUGAGAAGCCGCUGACGCCCUCCGCUUUGCCACAUUGUGGUAGUGGCGUGCCUGCAGCCCGCCCGCAACAGGAACCCAGUCUGAAACAUUAUAAAGAGAAUGCAAAUGGGAAUUGGUCAGGUGGCUCUGCUGACGGCGGAGACCUCCAACAGACGAACUUGCUGUUACGCCCCCGAAUCCCGGAGCAUGAUGCUGGGAGGAAAGGAGGCCGGACGAUUGGGUUGGGGUAUUAGAGGACGCUUGGUUUCUUCCCGCAACGUUGGUAUUGGGUACUAGUAAUGUGCCAGAUUCACUCUCUCUGUUGUAUGUUGGAUGAUGUCCAGAAUGAUAUGAAGGAGCCGCAGAGACGUAGGACGGGGCGUUAGAACGGAUGGAGGAGGUUUCGGGGUCGAAAGAGACGGUUUGGCGAGGAGUAUAUGGGGGCAGCGGUUCCGGAUAUGGGUGCAGCAAAGAUCGAGCGGGACGAAAAGCCAUGACGUUGAGCGCCAGCUAGUCCCUCCUGCAGAUUUCCGCAAGCUGGUUGGCGAGAUAGAAUUGUAUACGAAUAUUGUAGCAAUUGCGUUGUGUGUUCGUUCACUGUUGAGAUGAUGAGACAGGAAACAGGAAACAGGAGAGGUUUAAGAUGCUCUCAAGGCUUUUCCUCGGGAACAACACCGGUCGCGUGUGGAGUGUGGAGCAACUAGACAGUGAUGAUUCCUACCCCGCAGGCACAACGAUGGCUGAUAUCAAUGAUGUGUCUAGCCCUUGCGGUGAUGGAAGGGACCAGGGUGGCAAGUAGACUUAGGCGCAUGCAGGCCCCGGCACACGUUUUUCCUGCCGUUUAACCGUCACAGUGACGCACAGCCUGCGGGGAAGCGACUGGUACAGGCAGAAUAGAGGUGAGAUGGGG